UCGACAGGCUUAACACAUGCAAGUCGAGGGGCAGCACAGGUAGCAAUACCGGGUGGCGACCGGCGCACGGGUGAGUAACGCGUAUGCAACUUACCUAUCAGAGGGGGAUAACCCGGCGAAAGUCGGACUAAUACCGCAUGAAGCAGGGGCCCCGCAUGGGGAUAUUUGCUAAAGAUUCAUCGCUGAUAGAUAGGCAUGCGUUCCAUUAGGCAGUUGGCGGGGUAACGGCCCACCAAACCGACGAUGGAUAGGGGUUCUGAGAGGAAGGUCCCCCACAUUGGUACUGAGACACGGACCAAACUCCUACGGGAGGCAGCAGUGAGGAAUAUUGGUCAAUGGCCGAGAGGCUGAACCAGCCAAGUCGCGUGAGGGAUGAAGGUUCUAUGGAUCGUAAACCUCUUUUAUAAGGGAAUAAAGUGCGGGACGUGUCCCGUUUUGUAUGUACCUUAUGAAUAAGGAUCGGCUAACUCCGUGCCAGCAGCCGCGGUAAUACGGAGGAUCCGAGCGUUAUCCGGAUUUAUUGGGUUUAAAGGGUGCGUAGGCGGCCUUUUAAGUCAGCGGUGAAAGUCUGUGGCUCAACCAUAGAAUUGCCGUUGAAACUGGGGGGCUUGAGUAUGUUUGAGGCAGGCGGAAUGCGUGGUGUAGCGGUGAAAUGCAUAGAUAUCACGCAGAACCCCGAUUGCGAAGGCAGCCUGCCAAGCCAUGACUGACGCUGAUGCACGAAAGCGUGGGGAUCAAACAGGAUUAGAUACCCUGGUAGUCCACGCAGUAAACGAUGAUCACUAGCUGUUUGCGAUACACUGUAAGCGGCACAGCGAAAGCGUUAAGUGAUCCACCUGGGGAGUACGCCGGCAACGGUGAAACUCAAAGGAAUUGACGGGGGCCCGCACAAGCGGAGGAACAUGUGGUUUAAUUCGAUGAUACGCGAGGAACCUUACCCGGGUUUGAACGCAUUCGGACCGAGGUGGAAACACCUUUUCUAGCAAUAGCCGUUUGCGAGGUGCUGCAUGGUUGUCGUCAGCUCGUGCCGUGAGGUGUCGGCUUAAGUGCCAUAACGAGCGCAACCCUUGCCACUAGUUACUAACAGGUGAUGCUGAGGACUCUGGUGGGACUGCCAGCGUAAGCUGCGAGGAAGGCGGGGAUGACGUCAAAUCAGCACGGCCCUUACAUCCGGGGCGACACACGUGUUACAAUGGCGUGGACAAAGGGAGGCCACCUGGCGACAGGGAGCGAAUCCCCAAACCACGUCUCAGUUCGGAUCGGAGUCUGCAACCCGACUCCGUGAAGCUGGAUUCGCUAGUAAUCGCGCAUCAGCCAUGGCGCGGUGAAUACGUUCCCGGGCCUUGUACACACCGCCCGUCAAGCCAUGGGAGCCGGGGGUACCUGAAGUCCGUAACCGCGAGGAUCGGCCUAGGGUAAAACUGGUGACUGGGGCUAA
rnacentral:rRNA from 1 species